rnacentral:rRNA from 1 species
UUUGGAAGCUAGGCAGGGUCACGUCUGGUCAGUACUUGGGUGGGAGACCCCAAGGAAAUAACUAGAGACCUCCAGGU